AAUUUCUUCAAAAGGGAAUUGAGCUACUAGAAGAUAACCAGCGAGUACAACAGAAGAGUAAUGUGGUAAAAGUUGGAGAUGCAUUAGAGAAAUGCUUAAUUGACUCAACCUCAACUAAUAGUCAUAUAUUCAAUCAACCUCAAACUCAAAGUCAAAAUCAAAAUCAUUUUGACUCAUCAGAUACUACUCUCAAACUCGGGUUACCAUUUCCCAAUUGCAGUUAUAAUUAAGGCAGUGUGUUUGUAGUUUGAAUAUUAAAAAUAUUUACUUUCAUUUUAUUUAGAAUAAGACAAAGUGUAAUAAUAAAAGAAAUAUAUGUUGUCAAGUAUAAUUUUAUAUACUUUCUACCA